rnacentral:lncRNA from 1 species
AAGGCUUCUAGCAGCUAUUUGUGAGCCAUGGCUGGGACCCUCCAAGAAAUUCUACCCUGUCCUCUGGAGUCCAGACUCAGCAAACUGCAGUGUUCGCUUCUGAGGGGGCAGAGUCCAAGCCAGGUGUCCGAUGACCCAGCGUGAGGUCCAGUUCAGGCUUCUGGAGAAUGCUCCUCUCUCUAGGCAAGGGGCGUCAGAGCAGCAACGAGCCCAGAGAAGUCAACAGUGGCUGUUCGGGCUCUCUCAGUUGCUUCCAGAAGAUCAGAAGGCGAUAACCCAGAUCUUCUGCCAGCCCCCCAGCCAGCAGAGAAGACUUUGGUUUCUAACGGUGAAGGAAAAUAAAGAUAAUGACACAAACAAUAGCUAUUGCAUAUGCACUGCUUCAGCAGGGAGGCGGGGCGCGCAAGGAGGGCACUACAUCUGUCACUGGCACGAGUGAGAACCGCCCACAAUUACAAGGUCUAAAUAAAAUACUUUGAACAAAAGGUGCA